AAUCAACGCUGGCGGCGUGCCUCAGACAUGCAAGUCGAACGCGAAAGUCCCCUUCGGGGGAUGAGUAGAGUGGCGUCCGGGUGAGUAACACGUAGGUAAUCUACCUUUGGGUGGGGAAUAACCCCGAGAAAUCGGGGCUAAUACCGCAUAAUGCAGCGGCACCACAUGGUGACAGUUGUUAAAGCGGGGGAUCGCAAGACCUCGCGCCUAAAGAGGAGCCUGCGGCGGAUUAGCAGUUGGUAGGUAACGGCCUACCAAGGCAACGAUCCGUAGCCGGCCUGAGAGGGCGGUCGGCCACACUGACACUGAAAUACGGGUCAGACUCCUACGGGAGGCAGCAGUCGGGAAUUUUGGGCAAUGGGCGAAAGCCUGACCCAGCAACGCCGCGUGAAGGAUG
rnacentral:rRNA from 1 species